AUCCUUUGUAGUUCAUAAACAAGAUAACUGAGUGUUCCAUGUGCACGUGUGAGAUGUGCCACCCUCAAAUAUUGUUAUGAUACUGGUACAUUACCUAUCUGAUG
rnacentral:snoRNA from 1 species